rnacentral:rRNA from 1 species
AUUGAACGCUGGCGGCAGGCCUAACACAUGCAAGUCGAGCGAGCGGCGGAGGGGUGAGUAAUGUAUGGGGACUGCCCGAUAGAGGGGGGGAACUACUGGAAACGGUAGCUAAUACCGCAUACUAUCGGAUAACCCAUAUGGGAUUAGCUAGUAGGUGAGGUAAUGGCUCACCUAGGCGACGAGGCCUAGCUGGUCUGAGAGGAUGAUCAGCCACACUGGGACUGGGACACGGCCCAAACCCCUACGGAGGCAGCAGGGGGGAAUAUUGGACAAUGGGCGCAAGCCUGAUGGAGCCAAGCCGCGUGGAUGAAGAAGGGCCUAGGGUUGUAAAGUUCUUUUAGUCGGGAAGCGUUACCGACAGAAGAAGCACCGGCUAACUCCGUGCCAGCAGCCGCGGUAAUAC